GUGGGGAAUAUUGGACAAUGGGCGAAAGCCUGAUCCAGCAAUGCCGCGUGAGUGAUGAAGGCCUUAGGGUUGUAAAGCUCUUUUACCAGGGAUGAUAAUGACAGUACCUGGAGAAUAAGCUCCGGCUAACUCCGUGCCAGCAGCCGCGGUAAUACGGAGGGAGCUAGCGUUGUUCGGAAUUACUGGGCGUAAAGCGCACGUAGGCGGCUACUCAAGUCAGAGGUGAAAGCCCGGGGCUCAACCCCGGAACUGCCUUUGAAACUAGGUAGCUAGAAUCUUGGAGAGGUCAGUGGAAUUCCGAGUGUAGAGGUGAAAUUCGUAGAUAUUCGGAAGAACACCAGUGGCGAAGGCGACUGACUGGACAAGUAUUGACGCUGAGGUGCGAAAGCGUGGGGAGCAAACAGGAUUAGAAACCCCGGUAGUCC
rnacentral:rRNA from 1 species